rnacentral:misc_RNA from 1 species
CCGAGUUUUCAACUCCCAAACCCCUGUGAACAUACCUGAACGUUGCUUCGGCGGGACCGCCCCGGCGCCCUCAGCGGCCCGGAACCAGGCGCCCGCCGGAGGACCCAAACUCUUGCUUUUAACUAGUGGCAUUCUCUGAGUCUCACAAACAAAAUAAAUCA